GGUAAAGUUGUUGAACGUUUAAGACGCUGGUUUAAGACACAAGUCUCUUUGCAGUCGUAGGUUCAAAUCCUACCGUUGCUA